rnacentral:rRNA from 1 species
GGGACACGUGGUAUCCUGUCUGAAUAUGGGGGGACCAUCCUCCAAGGCUAAAUACUCCUGACUGACCGAUAGUGAACCAGUACCGUGAGGGAAAGGCGAAAAGAACCCCGGCGAGGGGAGUGAAAAAGAACCUGAAACCGUGUACGUACAAGCAGUGGGAGCCUCUUAAUGGGGUGACUGCGUACCUUUUGUAUAAUGGGUCAGCGACUUAUAUUCUGUAGCAAGGUUAACCGAAUAGGGGAGCCGAAGGGAAACCGAGUCUUAACUGGGCGUUAAGUUGCAGGGUAUAGACCCGAAACCCGGUGAUCUAGCCAUGGGCAGGUUGAAGGUUGGGUAACACUAACUGGAGGACCGAACCGACUAAUGUUGAAAAAUUAGCGGAUG